AUUUUAGUUGGAUUGAAAAGCUCCUGUGUAAGGUACCCUUUCCUAAAGAAAAAUUGAAGUAAUUUGUACAAUUAUAACGCGCCGAGAAAAUAUUGUGUACAAUGGGAGUAAGUGAUGUAAUCUUCUAAUGCGUGUGGUGAAAAGAAGGCGAAUCCGUUAUUGUUUUUCUGCCCAAAUUUGAAGCUAUUUAAUAAAUCUUGAUAAAGUUAAAAAACUGUUUUGAUUUGUUUGUUUUUGUUUUAAUUGUUUCCCGUGAGUUUUCGAAAUUCGUUCCAGCAGAUUCUGUGGCUUCUACUGCCGGUAUUUUUACGUGAAAAAAAUA